rnacentral:misc_RNA from 1 species
GUUACGAAAUACGAAAAGUUGUUAUUGCAAAUUUUUGCAAUUCGGAAAUGUCCACGUUAUUAUCUGUGAUAAAUAAUUAAAUAUCGUACAAAAGAAGAUCGCCUAUUUUCUUUUAAAUGAGGGAUCGUUUGCUAGAAAAAUACGCAAAGAAGAAAGAAAUGCUCUAGAGGGACUACGACUUUCACAAGUAUAUCAUCCGGAAAUGCAAUAAAAUGAAUGUUUGUGUGACCUUACAAGAACGUUCAGUAUGGCGGCGCAUUUUAUGCAGAACACUUGGGCAUUGUUUGUCAAAAUACAAUUGAAAGGAUUUGAAACUACUUUUUCAAUCAAAUCAAGAAUGGAAUGCGGUGUUUGUAGCAAGACAUUUUCGACUAGGGGUAAUCUAGUAAGACAUAAAAGAACCCACACAGGAAUCAAACCUUACAAAUGUGAUAUUUGCGAGGGAAGGUUUUUUCGAUCAUCCCACUUAGAGGAGCAUAAAAUAACGCACACGGGUGAAAAACCAUUUCAAUGUGAUGUAUGUAACAAGAAAUUCACACGAUCUGGCCACCUUAUUGUACAUAAGAAAACACACAGUGUGGAAAAACCCUAUGAAUGUGGUAUUUGCAAGCAGAGAUUUUCUCUCAUGACUGAUUUGGCUGACCAUAAAAAUAAACAUGCUGAAGAAAAAUAUGAAUGUGACAUUUGCCAUCAAGUAUUUACCCAGUCUGGUGCUAUUACAAGACACAGGAGAAUACACACAGGAGAAAAACCAUAUAAAUGCGACAUUUGCCAGCAGACAUUUGCUCGGGCUAAUUCCUUAAGGAGACAUUCAUUAACGCAUACAGGAGAGAAACCUUAUAAAUGUGAUGUUUGCCAAGAAAGGUUUUCUCGAUCAAGUAAUUUGGCACGUCACAUGAUAAGAAAGCAUUCUAAAGAAAAGAAAACUGAAAGUGAUGUUUCCAACCACAGGCAGUAUACCUCGCCUAAAAUAAGAUUGAAUGAGGCAGGAAAGUAUGAAUGUGAGACUCACCAGGAAAAAAAUAUGUGUCCACCUGAGGAAUUAAGAGGUAGUGCUAAAAAGGACUCUACUCAAACAGGUUUAUGCAACAUACAACUUCCUGAUUGCAAAUGCUUGAUGCAACACAUUAAGAAGGAGUGUGAUAUCUCAUAUGGCCAGAGCCACCAGAUUGAUGUCUGCUCUGAGGAAUUGCAACUGAAGACACAGCUUACCAACAUUGGGUAUGUCUGCUCUUUGUGUGGUAUUGCAUUCAAUACUCUUGCAGAAUUAGAAAAUCAUUUUAAUACUCAUAACAUAGAAUAGGUUUGUAAACUUUCAAAUUAUAGAUUAAUCAUUGGUGUGUAACUUAACUUUUCUGACCACUUGAUAUUAGGAAAAGCAACAGGAAACAUUGUCCAAGUGCCACAUGUUUUUUACACCCUUUAAAUUGGCUUGAUGAGUAUGGGGCUUUUUACAGUUACAGUAUACCACUGUUAAGUUGUGUUACAUUCAGUUAAUCAAACCAUGCACUUUUGAUCUAAAAUACUACCACUGGUGUGAAGACACAGCUUACCAACAUUGGGAAAAGGAACAGAAAACAAGUGCCACAUUGUUUUUCAAACAUCUUGGCUUAAUGAGUAUAGGCUUUCAGAUUUAGUUGAAUGUAGCACAUUCAGAUUUAGUUGAAUGUUAUACAUAAAAUGAUGUUGAAAAUGGUUCACAAGGCUAACAUAAUGAGAUGAAUCAUUGAUAAAAUUGUAUUCAACUUAAAGAAAAGUUCAAAGUUUUUGAGUAGUGGACCUGCAUUGUAACAAAUUCAUUGUCAUUUUUAAACUCAAACUUUUAUGCCUUUAAAAUGGGACUAGCAAGUAUUAAGUUACCAUUACAGUACACCAAUGUUAAGUUGUGUUACAUUCAGUUAAUCAAACCAUGCACUUGUGAUCUAAAAUACUACCACCAAAGCACUUGUUUUUUCAUUUAUCAGAAUAGACAUUAUAUAAUAUUUGAUUGCUCUCAACCAAUCCUCAUCCAAUAAUUUUAUGCUAAUAAUACAUAUAAUUAUACUAGCAGAAAGUAAUAAGUAAUAAUCUCCAAGUCACUUGACUUUUUAUACUAUGUACUAUUAAUCACUGCGAAAGUCGCAGCCAGGACGUUGGAUGCCUCCCACAACACACACUGCGUGCCUGGAAAAGCCUAUAGCCUCGUCGAAGUGUAAGAUGGUCACAUGUCGUAAACUGAGAAGUAUAGUCAAGAGCUAUCUAUAUUUGAAUCUAUAUAUGAAUGUAUAUAUCAUGAAAAAUGAUAGAUUAGAUUGAAAUA